rnacentral:rRNA from 1 species
AGAGUUUGAUCAUGGCUCAGAUUGAACGCUGGCGGCAUGCCUUACACAUGCAAGUCGAACGGCAGCGGGUUCCUUCGGGACGCCGGCGAGUGGCGAACGGGUGAGUAAUGCAUCGGAACGUACCCAGUAGUGGGGGAUAACUUACCGAAAGGUAAGCUAAUACCGCAUACGCACUGAGGUGGAAAGCAGGGGACCGCAAGGCCUUGCGCUAUUGGAGCGGCNGAUGUCGGAUUAGCUAGUUGGUGGGGUAAAGGCCUACCAAGGCGACGAUCCGUAGCGGGUCUGAGAGGAUGAUCCGCCACACUGGAACUGAGACACGGUCCAGACUCCUACGGGAGGCAGCAGUGGGGAAUUUUGGACAAUGGGCGCAAGCCUGAUCCAGCCAUGCCGCGUGAGUGAAGAAGGCCUUCGGGUUGUAAAGCUCUUUCGGCCGGGAAGAAAUCGUGGUGGCUAAUACCUGCCAUGGAUGACGGUACCGGACUAAGAAGCACCGGCUAACUACGUGCCAGCCGCCGCGGUAAUAC